CAAAACAAAGCGUCCCUUUUACACUUGUAUUCAUAAGCAAUAUCCAGGAAUCUUGCUUGCUUUCUCACACUAUAAGAAAUACCUCUUUUGAUAGCCUUAGAGGAUAGCCAUUUUUAAAUAAGCCUACAAAGCUUGUGUGGUUCGGACCUCAGAGUCUACUUUAAGCUGCUGACCAAAGCUUUGGCUGAUGGUAUCUGCAUCUUAAGAGUAAUAAAACACUUCCAAUUUUGCUGAGACAUGGAGGAUUGACUGAGAUUUUGGAUGCUGAAAGUUAGUUUCUGCACUUCAUCUUCUUCUCUCUUCAAACCCACAAAAUACUCAUCAAAUUCCUUUAAAAUCUAAGUUCCACCACUCAAAUUCAAGGUUGAGAAUAGUAGAGAAGAUCUCUUGGUGUUUAAGGACUAAUUUGGAGUUGAAUUGGAGUAAAUAGUAGCUUGGAUUUGAAGAUUUCAUCAUCAAAAGGUAUAUAACUUGAAACCCACUUGAAUAUGCAUACUUUAGAACUCAAAUUAAAUGUAAUUAGAGUGCUUAUUGAUUCUGUUUGCUUCCGUUGCAUGCUUAUGUAUCCCUUCAAAAAGCAUGGUAUCUUCCUUAAUAAAGGACAAGGUAAAUUUGUCAUAACUCUCUUUAUCUAUUUAAAUUGUGUUUUAUAUAACAUUUUGAAUAUGUUGUUUCUAUAGGAAAAAAUGAAUGAAAAAAAAAUUCUAAUAAUCUUGUUAAAGUAUCAGCAUCGGCAGAUAUUCCAGCUCUAAUCCUAAAUUCCCCACCGGUAAAUUCAUUUAUAAAUUUUCUAUUCAUUUAGUCUUCGAAAUUAUUAUUGUUUGAAAAUUUUCUAACCGUAUUAUUGGUCAAAAAGAGUGUAACUACCAACACUCUCCAUAAGUGUUUGUUGCUAGAUUGGAUCAGUUUAGGAGAAGUCACUGCUGAAGGUAGAUGAUCUUUCAAUGAUCCAUCAAUCUUUGUCCAUCACAUACCUCUUGGCCUGAAUGUAGUUCGUGUAUGGGUUGAUACGAUAAAAAUAUCAAAUUCCUUCUUAUGGAGGCCUAUAUUUGAUAUUAUUCUUAUUGAAGAUGUCGUGGGCACUACUGUUGCAUGGCCAAUGGAUAAACUCAAACUAUGUGAUUGAUAUGAUGACAAACAUUGAAGCUACAUAUUUUUGUGGGAGAAUUUUGGUAUCACUAAAUCUAAACAUCUCUUUAGAUUGUAUCAACUUUUUGGGAUUAUAUAUGUAGUCAUUUUAUUUGGAUUAAGAAUUUAUAAUUUGUUCUAUUAGGUAAGAACUUUGUUGGAACAUACUUUUGAUGACUAUAUCAAA